CCCCACUUUGCUGUGUCUCUCUCCUCUCCUGACACCCUGUGACAGCCUUGCCGAGAGCCGAGGUCCCCACAGCUGACCGGGAGAGCCCCAGGAGGCAGGUCCAGUUCCCCCCUGUUGUAGACACGCGGGAGCCGAGGCCACACAGCCAGGAGGAAGGAAACUGACACCACACCAAGUGACCAGAGAUGCUGGGAAUCCCCUAAUUCCUCUCCUUUACUGAGAUAACAGACAGAGCAGAACAAAAGAAUGAUCACUCUGAGCACCCGAGAGCGGAGAAGCUAGGAAUGCCCUUGCCAGCCCCUGCAUCCUGGAGAAUCUGGUCCAGGACUGUCUGAGUUACCUUCAGGGACCUGCCUGGGAACAUAAAUGAGUGAGCUGGGUUGAGCAGGGGCUACUGUGGUUUAUUUCAUAAGGGCAUUUAUGUUAUAUUAUUUUGACUUAAACACUCUUGGCAUAUUAAACACUUAGGAAGACUUUUCACUUCCGCAAAGAAACAUAGUCUUUCACGUAUUU
rnacentral:lncRNA from 1 species